rnacentral:rRNA from 1 species
AUUGAACGCUGGCGGCAUGCUCUACACAUGCCAGUCGAACGGUAACAGGCCGCAAGGUGCUGACGAGUGGCGCACGGGUGAGUAAUGCAUCGGAACGUGCCCAGUCGUGGGGGAUAACUACUCGAAAGAGUAGCUAAUACCGCAUACGAUCUAUGGAUGAAAGCGGGGGACCGUAAGGCCUCGCGCGAUUGGAGCGGCCGAUGUCAGAUUAGGUAGUUGGUGGGGUAAAGGCUCACCAAGCCAACGAUCUGUAGCUGGUCUGAGAGGACGACCAGCCACACUGGGACUGAGACACGGCCCAGACUCCUACGGGAGGCAGCAGUGGGGAAUUUUGGACAAUGGGCGCAAGCCUGAUCCAGCAAUGCCGCGUGCAGGAAGAAGGCCUUCGGGUUGUAAACUGCUUUUGUACGGAACGAAACGGCUCUGGUUAAUACCCGGGGCUAAUGACGGUACCGUAAGAAUAAGCACCGGCUAACUACGUG